AGGAGGGUAGUUUAAAAAAAAUUUAGGCUUUGGGAGCUUAAGAUGUUGAGUUAGUCAGCUCCACCUA
rnacentral:tRNA from 1 species